rnacentral:rRNA from 1 species
UCCGUAGGGUGAACCUGCGGAAGGAUCAUUACAGAGUUCAUGCCCUUACGGGUAGAUCUCCCACCCUUGAAUACCUUACCUUUGUUGCUUUGGCGGGCCACGUCCGCGUGCCGGCUUCGGCUGGUUGCGCCCGCCAGAGGACCCAAACUCGUUUGUUUAGUGAUGUCUGAGUACUAUAUAAUAGUUAAAACUUUCAACAACGGAUCUCUUGGUUCUGGCAUCGAUGAAGAACGCAGCGAAAUGCGAUAAGUAAUGUGAAUUGCAGAAUUCAGUGAAUCAUCGAAUCUUUGAACGCACAUUGCGCCCCUUGGUAUUCCGAGGGGCAUGCCUGUUCGAGCGUCAUUAUGACCACUCAAGCUUGGCUUGGUGUUGGGGUCCGCGGUCCCGCGGCCCUUAAAAUUAGUGGCGGCGCCAUCUGGCUCUCAGCGUAGUAAUACUCCUCGCUACAGGGUCCCGGUGGCUGCCUGCCAGCAACCCCCCAUCUCACGGUGACCUCGGAUCAGGUAGGGAUACCCGCUGAACUUAAGCAUAUCAAUAAGCGGAGGAAAU